rnacentral:lncRNA from 12 species
CUAGAAUGUACAUGUGUAAAACUAGCAUUUCAUGGACAAUUAAUUUUUUUUUUGAAAUUUUUAAGUUCCACUUAUGAACUAAGUACUCAAUUUUCACAACUCUUUUGUAAGAGUUGAACAAACAAAUUAAAUAAGCUCACGGGAACUAGUUCAUCCUGGCCUUUACCAUGGUUUGUUCCUCGUUCUCCUGUGAAAAUAACAGUGUAUUUUAUGUGUUUCCAUUUCAGAUUCCACAGCCAUCCAUUGCUUUAAGAGAGGAAGCUUACAGCCUAAUUAUAAGUCAGCACAGAAUAUAUAAGAACCAAUCUACAUGAGAACCUUAUGCAGCCACGUUACUGUGUCCUGUGGAAUAGGAGAUAAUACUGUGAACUGGAA